rnacentral:rRNA from 1 species
GUGAGUAGAGUGGCGCACGGGAGAGUAAUGCAUAGGAACGUACCUUAAAGUUUGGGAUAACCACUGGAAACGGUGGCUAAUACCGGAUGUGGAAGCAAUUCUAAAGAUGGCCUCUAUACUAUGCUAUCGCUUUAAGAUCGGCCUAUGUCCCAUUAGCUUGUUGGUGAGGUAAUGGCUCACCAAGGCUACGAUGGGUAGCUGGUCUGAGAGGAUGAUCAGCCUCACUGGGACUGAGACACGGCCCAGACUCC